GCCCACGCGAAAUUAACCUUGUUUUCGUUAAGGAAUCAUGGGAGACAAGCUUCAAUAGUCGCAUUAGAGUGUGACAUGAUGAUCAAGAAGGACGAGAUGCAAAUCCAAGCGUGCAAUGGAGAAAUCAUGUUGAUUUUAAUUAAUCUAGACGCACAGGCGGUGGAAACUACCAAGCUGGAGUACGGUAGGGGCAGAGGGAAUUUCCAAUGGAGCGGUGAAAUGCGUAGAGAUCGGAAAGAACACCAACGGCGAAAGCACUCCGCUGGGCCGACACUGACACUGAUAGACAAAAGGUAGGGGAGCGAAUAGGAUUAGAUACCCCAGUAGUCCUAGCCGUAAAUGAUGGAUACUGGGCGCUGUGCGUAUCGACCCGUGCAGUUGCUAUAGCUAACGCGUUAAGUUUCACUCCUAGGGAGUACAUUCGCAAGAAUGAUGAGAAUGCAAACAUUUGGAUGUUUGGGAUGCAUGUAAUGAUGUAAUUU
rnacentral:ncRNA from 1 species